UGGCAUUCACCUGGCAGCCAUUGAGGUGGUCACUCUCUUGUUGCUCCUUUUCCCCAUCUGUGGCUCCAAGAUCAAGCCCAAGUCUGGUGGAUGCGCCCAGGAGAGGCCAAGGAGGAAAUUCCGGGCCAGCGUGUUUGUCCUCAUCGUGCCCCUGGGGGUGGGCACCGGCUGGCUCGCUCUGGCUCCCCCUGCUCCGGCUCCCCUGGAAUUCCAUGGAGCACAGAGGAGGCUUCUGGGAAGUGUGCUGCAGGAGAACACGGAAGCCCUGGGCUACGCGCUGGGGGGGGUCGGGCUGAUCGUGUCUUGGACCUCGCGGAUCCCGUCAUUCUCUAAACUA